GCCUGGGUGGCUCAGUCGGUUGAGUGUCUGACUUCAGAUCAGGUCAUGAUCUUGCAGUUCACGAAUUCAAGCCUCACUUCGGGCU
rnacentral:tRNA from 1 species